UACGAAGGGGGCUAGCGUUGCUCGGAAUUACUGGGCGUAAAGGGAGCGUAGGCGGAUAGUUUAGUCAGAGGUGAAAGCCCAGGGCUCAACCUUGGAAUUGCCUUUGAUACUGGCUAUCUUGAGUACGGAAGAGGUAUGUGGAACUCCGAGUGUAGAGGUGAAAUUCGUAGAUAUUCGGAAGAACACCAGUGGCGAAGGCGACAUACUGGUCCGUUACUGACGCUGAGGCUCGAAAGCGUGGGGGAGCAAACAGG
rnacentral:rRNA from 1 species